GGGGUUCGUUUUGGCUUUUUGUUGCUUGCUUGGUGUUUGUGCCGUGCGGGUGGUUUUUAGCUGGACGUUCUUCGGGAAUGUUUAUCGUAAAGGUGCAUGAGUGGUGUUUGGUUUGUUACGGGUGGUUGGAUGUCUGUUUGUGCAGCAACUUCCACGCGUUCAUACCUCUUCAGUUGUGCUACAAGACUUUAUCUGUCUUGUGCAUCUGUGUGUUUCUGUGUUGCAUACCUAAUGAAGGGCAUAGUGUGGGUAGAUUAAAGUUGAUUUCGUGAUCCGUCGUUUGCGGCGUUGAACGAACCUCGAAGCGGUCUCUACGGCCUAUGCUGUUGUUGCCCUUGCAAUGAUGGUAUGGCCCUUGGAGCGCCGUUUGGUCUUCUGGAUAUGGAACAUGUUGUGGGGUGUAGGGUCUUUAAAGAUCCUAUUUUUGCCCCCRUUCAGCGGUUUCGCUUCUCUAAACGAUUGCCUCCCAUGUGUCGGCAUGUUCGUGCAUGGUGGGUUGUGUCGAAGAGGAAUGC
rnacentral:misc_RNA from 1 species